CCAGGGGAAAGAGUCAACAUAUUUUCUUCUGAGUGUGAUGCAAGUGAACAGUGUUGCACUUUUACGCCUGGUGCUUAUUAUUGAUUACCAUUCUCCUUUUUUUAAAAAAGAAGAAGGUGGAGGACAAAAGCACAAACUGAGUGG
ensembl:snoRNA U3 Small nucleolar RNA U3